GCCCACUUUACCACCUGAAUCAUCUGCUUGCCAGCCAGGCGGUUUAAGGUGGAAAGCAGGUACUCGGCUGUGUCUGGUUUCGAGCUGUCAUAUCCUGCGUACACGAUCUCCGGUUCAAUGCUUUCAAGGAUCUUAACAGGAGAGGGAGUAAGUGCUGGUGAGAUGGCAGACAUGUGGGGGACAAGUGCUGUGUUUACAGGGGGCUCAGUUACUGGAGCGAUGUAUGUCGUCCCUUCCUCCGGGCUUUGGGGUGGCGGCUGCUGCCGCUGCUGUGGCUGUUCCUCGUGCAUCCCUUUCAAUUUGCCCAGUUUUUUGGACUUCCGGGCUCCUAGAUUCAUUCCAGCUUGCAGACAUUUCUGUAAUCGACAGGCUGGGCAGUUCUUCCUCCGAAUCUUAUCAAUUAUGCAGUCGUUCCUUCCCGCACACAGAUAAUUAUGCUGUCCUUCUACAGCUCUCUUGAAGAAGACUUUACAGCUGCCACAUGUAACUACCCCGUAAUGACAUCCAGA
rnacentral:lncRNA from 1 species